UCAGGUGGUUAUUGCGGUGAGGUCCCACCUCUUCCCAUUCCGAACAGAGAAGUUAAGCUCACUUGCGCCGAUGGUACUGCAAUGUAAUGCGGGAGAGUAGGUAGCCGCCUCCU
rnacentral:rRNA from 1 species